rnacentral:lncRNA from 1 species
GAACCGUUUUUUUCGGCCCGCGCGCCAUGGCGAACUCCUCGUUUUCAGCCCAUACGCAAGGCCGAACAGCCCUGCCGCCCGUCGCCGCGCGCCUCCUCCCGUUUUCCCUCCGUUCCACCUUUACCUUCACUCAGACAUGCGCUCUAGGUUCGGUGUCUUUCCACACGCUGGACUUAGCCCGUUUUCGCGCCGUGGCCGAACCGUUGUUUUCGGCCCGCGCGCCAUGGCGAACCCCUCGUUUUCGCCCAACGCAAGGCCGAACAGCCUGCCGCCCGUCGCCGCGCCUCCUCCGUUUUCCCUCCGUUCCGCCUGCCCUUCACCAAGACAUACUUUACUUCGGUGUCUUUCCACACGCUUGGACUUAGCUUUUCGGGCCUGCCGAACCGUUUUCGGCCCGCGCGCCAUGGCGAACCCCUGUUUUCAGCCCACGCAAGGCCGAACGCCCUGCCGCCGUCGCCGCGCGCCUCCUCCCGUUUUCCCUCCGUUCCACCUUGCCUUCACUCAAGACAUGCACUUUAGGUUCGGUGUCUUUCCACACGCUUGGACUUAGCUUAUUUCGGCGUGCCGACGUUUUCGGCCCGCGCCAUGGCGACCCCGCCCAAGGCCGAACAGCCUGCCGCCCGUCGCCUUGCGCCUCCGUGCCGUUUUCCCUCCGUUCCGCCAUGCCCUUCACCCAAGACAUACAUAUUACCUUCGGUGUCUUUCCACACGCUUGGACUUAGCUUAUUUCCGGGCCAUGCCCGAACCUCGGUUUUCGGCCCGCGCGCCAUGGCGAACCCCUUGUUUUCAGCCCAGGCGCAAGGCCGAACGGCCCUGCCGCUCGUCGCCGCGCGCCUCCUCCCGUUUUCCCUCCGUUCCACCUUGCGCUUCAAUCAAGACAUGCACUUUAGGUUCGGUGUCUUUCCACACGCUUGGACUUAGCUUAUUUUCGAGUUCGUGCCCGAGCCUCCGUUUUCGGCCCGUGCGCC